rnacentral:lncRNA from 1 species
AUGCAGAGCACCUCAUGUUAUCCAUCAGGGCGCGUUUGGUUCGCAUUAUGAAAGGAAACUAGAAAUAAAAAAAUAUCCGAGAAUCUUAUUCCUAUUCAUCCUAUUACUAAGAAUAUGACAUUUCUAUGUUUGAUUCGUACGGUCAUAUUAUUUAAUUAUAUUAUUUAACAUUACAAAAAAAUAUACAAUUUGUUUAUUUAUUUUUUUAAUUAAUUUUAGAUAAUGCUAUCAAAAAUUUCAACAUCUUUUUAGAAAAAAAAGAGAGCGAACAUAGGUUAGAGAAAGAGAGAGCAUAAUUAAAGAAAUAAGAAGAGAAAUAGAGUCGAGGUAGAGGGAACGAGAGAGUUGAGAUUUUAGAAAAAGAGGGAGAGAGAGAGCUUAGUUUAGAGAGAGAAAAAUAAUUAAAGUUUAGAGAGAAAAAGAUAAGUUUAGAGAGAGACAUGAGGUUAGAGUAUAAAAAAAAUAAUACCAACUAGCCGACGGGUAGGGAGAAAGAGAUUGGACAUAUUAUGAUUAUCCCGAUUCAUUAAUAUGAGGAUAUCCACCCCCUCUUAAGGGAAUGAGAUUAGUAUUUUGGGAUGAAUCUUGUUCUCAAGUAAAUUUAAUAUUACCGACUAGAUUAGUUUAGCUAAACAUCGCCAUAUUUUUUUAUUUCUAUUGGAUUACUAGGAAUUUUCAAAAGAUAGCGCGAACCAAACGCACCCCUAAAGUAAUCAAAUUUGAUUCAAUUUGAUGCAUAUGUUGG